rnacentral:rRNA from 1 species
UACGGAGGUCCCAAGCGUUGUUCGGAUUCACUGGGCGUAAAGGGUGCGUAGGUGGUUAGGUAAGUCCGAUGUGAAAUCUCCAGGCUCAACCUGGAAAUGGCAUUGGAUACUAUUUAGCUUGAGGAGUGGAGGGGGGACUGGAAUUCUCGGUGUAGCAGUGAAAUGCGUAGAUAUCGAGAGGAACACCAGUGGCGAAGGCGAGUCCCUGGACACUUCCUGACACUGAGGCACGAAAGCUAGGGGAGCAAACAGG